CAGCAGCUGCGGUAAUACAGAGGGUGCGAGCGUUAAUCGGAUUUACUGGGCGUAAAGCGUGCGUAGGCGGCUUCUUAAGUCGGAUGUGAAAUCCCUGAGCUUAACUUAGGAAUUGCAUUCGAUACUGGGAAGCUAGAGUAUGGGAGAGGAUGGUAGAAUUCCAGGUGUAGCGGUGAAAUGCGUAGAGAUCUGGAGGAAUACCGAUGGCGAAGGCAGCCAUCUGGCCUAAUACUGACGCUGAGGUACGAAAGCAUGGGGAGCAAACAGGAUUAGAUACCCCAGUAGUCCCUGUCUCUUAUAC
rnacentral:rRNA from 1 species